ACGGGGAGCACCACAACAGGUGGAGCCUGCGGUUUAAUCGGACUCAACGCCGGGAAACUCACCAGUUAAGACAGCUGAAUGAUAGUCGGGCUGAAGACUCUACUUGACUAGCUGAGAGGAGGUGCAUGGCCGUCGUCAGUUCGUACUGUGAAGCAUCCUGUUAAGUCAGGCAACGAGCGAGACCCACGCCAACAGUUGCUAGCUCGUCCUCCGGGAUGGAGAGGACACUGUUGGGACCGCCUCUGCUAAAGAGGAGGAAGGAAUGGGCAACGGUAGGUCAGCAUGCCCCGAAUUAACUGGGCUACACGCGGGCUACAAUGGGUGGGACAAUGGGUAUCGACACCGAAAGGUGAAGGCAAUCUCCUAAACCCAUCCGUAGUUCGGAUUGUGGGCUGCAACUCGCCCACAUGAAGCUGGAAUCUGUAGUAAUCGUGUCUCAAAAUGGCACGGUGAAUAUGUCCCUGCUCCUU
rnacentral:rRNA from 1 species